rnacentral:rRNA from 1 species
GGGGUGCAGCAGGCGCGAAACCUCCUCAAUGCACUUACGUGCGAAGGGGCUACCUCGAGUGCCACCUGAUGAAGGUGGCUUUUCCUAGGUCUAAAAAGCCUUGGGAAUAAGAGGGGGGCAAGACUGGUGUCAGCCGCCGCGGUAACACCAGCCCCUCGAGUGGUGGGGAUGAUUAUUGGGCCUAAAGCGUCCGUAGCCUGCCGUAUAAGUUUCCCGUUAAAUCCAGCGUCUUAAGCGUUGGACUGCGGGAAAUACUGUACGGCUAGAGAGUGGGAGAGGUCAGCGGUAUUCUGGGGGUAGGGGCGAAAUCCUUUGAUCCCCGGAGGACCACCAGUGGCGAAGGCUGCUGUCUAGAACACGUCUGACGGUCAGGGACGAAAGCUGGGGUAGCGAACCGGAUUAGAUACCCGGGUAGUCCCAGCCGUAAACGAUGCAUGCUAGGUGUUGGGUUGGCCACGCGCCACCCCAGUGCCGCAGGGAAGCCGUUAAGCAUGCCGCCUGGAAGUACGAUCGCAAG